rnacentral:rRNA from 1 species
CCUACGUGUGGCAGCAGUGAGGAAUAUUGGUCAAUGGGCGUAAGCCUGAACCAGCCAAGUCGCGUGAGGGAUGAAGGUUCUAUGGAUCGUAAACCUCUUUUAUAAGGGAAUAAAGUGUGGGGCGUGUCCUGUUUUGUAUGUACCUUAUGAAUAAGGAUCGGCUAACUCCGUGCCAGCAGCCGCGGUAAUACGGAGGAUCCGAGCGUUAUCCGGAUUUGUUGGGUUUAAAGGGUGCGUAGGCGGCCUUUUAAGUCAGCGGUGAAAGUCUGUGGCUCAAACAAAGAAUUGCAGUUGAAACUGGGAGGCUUGAGUAUGUUUGAGGCAGGCGGAAUGAGUGGUGUAGCGGUGAAAUGCUUAGAUAUCACGAAGAACCCCGAUUGCGAAGGCAGCCUGCCAAUCCAUGACUGACGCUGAUGCACGAAAGCGUGGGGAUCAAACAGGAUUAGAUACCCUUGUAGUC